CAGCCGCCGCGGGAAUACGUAGGUGGCAAGCGUUGUCCGGAAUUAUUGGGCGUAAAGGGCUCGCAGGCGGUUUCUUAAGUCUGAUGUGAAAGCCCCCGGCUCAACCGGGGAGGGUCAUUGGAAACUGGGAAACUUGAGUGCAGAAGAGGAGAGUGGAAUUCCACGUGUAGCGGUGAAAUGCGUAGAGAUGUGGAAGAACACCAGUGGCGAAGGCGACUCUCUGGUCUGUAACUGACGCUGAGGAGCGAAAGCGUGGGGAGCGAACAGGAUUAGAUACCCCCGUAGUCCCUGUCUCUUAUAC
rnacentral:rRNA from 1 species